AGAGUUUGAUCCUGGCUCAGAUUGAACGCUGGCGGCAUGCCUUACACAUGCAAGUCGAACGGUAACAGGUCUUCGGAUGCUGACGAGUGGCGAACGGGUGAGUAAUACAUCGGAACGUGCCCGAUCGUGGGGGAUAACGAGGCGAAAGCUUUGCUAAUACCGCAUACGAUCUACGGAUGAAAGCGGGGGAUCUUCGGACCUCGCGCGGACGGAGCGGCCGAUGGCAGAUUAGGUAGUUGGUGGGAUAAAAGCUUACCAAGCCGACGAUCUGUAGCUGGUCUGAGAGGAUGAUCAGCCACACUGGGACUGAGACACGGCCCAGACUCCUACGGGAGGCAGCAGUGGGGAAUUUUGGACAAUGGGCGAAAGCCUGAUCCAGCCAUGGCCGCGUGCAGGAUGAAGGCCUUCGGGUUGUAAACUGCUUUUGUACGGAACGAAAAGCCUCUUUCUAAUAAAGAGGGGUCAUGACGGUACCGUAAGAAUAAGCACCGGCUAACUACGUGCCAGCAGCCGCGGUAAUACGUAGGGUGCAAGCGUUAAUCGGAAUUACUGGGCGUAAAGCGUGCGCAGGCGGUUUUGUAAGACAGAGGUGAAAUCCCCGGGCUCAACCUGGGAACUGCCUUUGUGACUGCAAGGCUGGAGUGCGGCAGAGGGGGAUGGAAUUCCGCGUGUAGCAGUGAAAUGCGUAGAUAUGCGGAGGAACACCGAUGGCGAAGGCAAUCCCCUGGGCCUGCACUGACGCUCAUGCACGAAAGC
rnacentral:rRNA from 1 species